ACCAAUGCGUUCGCUGUUGGAGGGGGGUGGCUUGGAGAGCGAGGGCGAGCAUCUGCUCCUCCUGGGAAACCCGGAGGGGAAGCGAGACAGAAAUCCACCGGGCUGUUUUCCCCAGGACUUCGCCCUCGUCCCAGUUUAUGUUCUCUCUGCAUGGCAUCUUGACCAAAGUUCCGGCGAUGGCCCUGAUUCCUGCUUCACGAAGAUAAAAACCGUUUAGCUCCAGCAACCUUACCAUUCUCCCCAAAAGGGUUUCUAGCAAACGUCCAUUUUGUGAAAAUUCUCAGGCACCCGAAGGAACAAAAGGCCGCCUUCCUUUCUAAGACAAGCCAGAGGGCACCGAGUCUCAUCCUACAACUGCCUAGAUCUUCCUGGCCGCCGUACUUGGGUUCUUCUUCCUGCUUUGGGACGGCAAUGGACUUGACUUAGCCCAGAGCGUGGGCAGCCUUCCCUUGGCCCCCUGAAGCUGUUUUUCUCUUUAGCUGCCACACUGCACAGGCAGAUCUGCACUUGUGCCUGCCCUCCGUCCAACGAUCGCCAUGACAGUUUGUCACCUUUUUCUUAAUCUCUCUCUCCCCUCCUUUUUUGUAGAGGUUGGUAGAAUAGCUAAAUGCAAUAAUCCAUGGAAGACCUUCAACGUAAUGCCUGGCACAGUAAGAGCUAUUAUUAGCCACCAUUCAGAAGUAAACAGUGACUCUUCGUUAACUGCAGCUUCAGCUCCAGAGAGCAGCCGUGAUACCCGGUGUAACCCGUCACAGCCCCGUCAUCGUGUUGCCCAGUAUUGUCACACUCUCAGUGUGAGCUGAGCACGCAGCUCGAUCAUAGCCCCGCCCCACCCUUGCAACAGACAAAUUUUAUUUAUUGCUAACGCCUGAGCCUGCACAGAUACACAAGGUACCAAUCCACACUUCAAUGAAAAGUGAUGUGAAAUCAAA